rnacentral:tRNA from 3 species
GCGGAAAUAGCUCAGUGGUAGAGCACAACCUUGCCAAGGUUGGGGUCGCGGGUUCGAAUCCCGUUUUCCGCUCCA